AUAAAACCUACUGGACUGUAUGACUAUUCUACACUUAAGAUCUAUUGAGUGAACAAUUACGGAAUGAGCCAAGAUCUCCAAGAACUUCUCACCUCCCAAUUAUGUACCUGAGGAGCUGUGGAUUGAAUAUUUCAGGCAUGGAAUUCACAAAGGUCUGACUCUGUUUUUAAGAGUAUUUUCCAGUACUUCGGAACCCACCAGGAAUUAACGCCACAGAAACGAGAGCGAAGAGAGUCACCUGUGCCCCAGAAUCUGAGCGUGAUCUCAAUC